rnacentral:rRNA from 1 species
UACAGAGGUCUCAAGCGUUGUUCGGAUUCAUUGGGCGUAAAGGGUGCGUAGGCGGCGCGGUAAGUCGGGUGUGAAAUCUCGGAGCUUAACUCCGAAAACUGCAUUCGAUACUGCCGUGCUUGAGGACUGGAGAGGAGACUGGAAUUUACGGUGUAGCGGUGAAAUGCGUAGAUAUCGUAAGGAAGACCAGUGGCGAAGGCGGGUCUCUGGGACGGUACUGACGCUGAGACGCGAAAGCGUGGGGAGCGAACAGG